GAUGAAGAACGCAGCGAAAUGCGAUAAGUAAUGUGAAUUGCAGAAUUCAGUGAAUCAUCGAAUCUUUGAACGCACAUUGCGCCCGCCAGUAUUCUGGCGGGCAUGCCUGUUCGAGCGUCAUUACAACCAUCAGGCCCCCGGGCCUGGCGUUGGGGAUCGGCGGAAGCCCCCUGCGGGCACAACGCCGUCCCCCAAAUACAGUGGCGGUCCCGCCGCAGCUUCCAUUGCGUAGUAGCUAACACCUCGCAACUGGAGAGCGGCGCGGCCACGCCGUAAAACACCCAACUUCUGAAUGUUGACCUCGAAUCAGGUAGGAAUACCCGCUGAACUUAAGCAUAUCAAUAAGCGGAGGA
rnacentral:misc_RNA from 1 species